UAUAUGUCUCCCUUUCUCCUCUAACUCUACUCCACACCUUCCUUCCUCUAACAUAUUUUUAUCUCUUGGUCUCUAUUUUCGAUGAUAUGUAUCAGUAUGGUGCACCACAAGAAGCUGAAGCUGCCAGCAUGAUCUGAUCUAAAAAAAUAUAGAUUUUAUUAUAUAUUUUUAUUAUUCAUAAUCUAAGUUAGGAAGAUUAUGGAUAUAGAGAUAUAUUUAAGUAGCAGAUCAUGUUGCAGUUUCAUCUACUGAUGGGAGCACCAAAUUUAAGCUCUAGAUUUCCUAGUUCUGCAUUCUAAUCAUUAGGUUUUAUGAGAUCAUACCACAUAUGGAAACUGUUUUUAUUUAUGAUCAGGACUGAAAUGAGGCUUGUUUGUUUUGAUUUUUGCAAGUUUAGUUUUGUGGCAUGCAGUGAAUUAAAAUGGCCUUGAUCAACGCUUACUUUUAUGUUGAUUCUUCUUGCACAUACAGUUCUGAUUAAUUCUUGAGCUCUUUUAUUCAUCAGAUUUUGUUAUAAAAUAUGCUUGCCUUGUCUUGUUUCCUUUUUUGAGGGAAAUUAAAUGACAAUAUAGGAGAAAUAGGGAUGCUGUUCAAGGAUUUGCAUUAGAAAUUCAAUAUAAUGAUAGGAAGCUAUAUAAUGGCAUUUAAAUUACUGCCAAAGGAUGAUUAUCGUGAUAUGUUUUAAAAUUAACUGUUUUUUGCUAAUGAUAUUUAAACACAAAGAAGUGAUUUAAUAAACAACACAUGCUUCUAAUCAAACUAAGCCUGUAUUGAUUUAGACAAAACACAACAGGAACAACAACAAUUAGCUCAGAAUUAAGAACAAAAAGUCUCUAAGACACCAUAAUUAUACAACUACUUCUAUAUGUAUCCUUGUGAGCAUCAGGUUACUUGGGAGUACACGGCUAAGGAUUUUGUUAUGAAGCUAUGAUGUCUUCUUGCCUUGGGAUCGAUUUAGAGACCACCAUCUGAUGACAAGAAGCAGAUAUACUAAAAGUUUCCUUUAUGUUUGUUGAUGCGGUGAUAAGGAGGGACUCAUCCCGUGGAGGAUAGUUGUCACGGUAGAGGUCAAAAUCAAGGCGGACAACACUCAGAUAUCAUCGGUCGAUCGGAUGAUCAUGCACAACCGGGGGGAGAAGGUUCCGGGCCGAUCCCGAGUGGAGAAGGUUCUGAUCCGAACUCGUCUUUAGCAUAGGGAGGUGUCGAAUGAUUGACGCUCGAUGGAGUAUUAGGCGUCGGACGGAGGAGGAGACGAUGUGCAGAAGUCGGGCCGAGAGGCUACCCCGCUCAGCCAGGCAGCAGGACUCGACAUUGGCAGAGCAGAACUUGGGCCGAACGGACGUGACACAAGAACAGGGAAGUUCCGGCCGAGCGGACGAGACACAAAAAUAGCGAAGUUACGGCCGAGUGGACGGGACACAAGAGUAGUGAAGCUCCGGCCGAGCGACCAAUCCGCUCGGCCUAGCAGCAUACUCCCUCUGUUAUCCAUCGACAUCCUUUUGGGAGUUAGUGCCGCUGACACUGAACAUAGACAACCAGAAGAUCGUACAGCGGAAGCUUCCACUGUCACUUCAGAGAUAUGCUCGGUCUGUUAAGGUACUGUGUCAGAUACACUUUACUGACAAGUCGUUUUAAGGAAAACUUUGGAAAGCGUGCUCACCUUGGGGAGCGUGCACGCGCGCUACAGGAUCUCUAUAUAAAGAGGAGGUCCAAGUAUCGGUGAAAGUAUGCAAUAGACAUUGUUCUUGCUAUUGU